rnacentral:rRNA from 1 species
UACGUAGGUGACCAGCGUUGUCCGGAUUUACUGGGCGUAAAGAGCGCGCAGGCGGUCGUUCAAGUCGAGUGUGAAAGCCCCCGGCUCAACUGGGGAGGGUCACUCGAUACUGAUCGACUUGAAGGCAGGAGAGGGAAGCGGAAUUCCCGGUGUAGUGGUGAAAUGCGUAGAUAUCGGAAGGAACAUCAGUGGCGAAAGCGACUUCCUGGACCAGUACCGACGUUCAGGCACGAAAGCGUGGGGAGCAAACAGG